rnacentral:rRNA from 1 species
AUACGGAGGGGGCUAGCGUUGUUCGGAAUUAUUGGGCGUAAAGCGGGUGUAGGCGGCCGUUUAAGUCGGAUGUGAAAUCCCUGGGCUCAACCCAGGAACUGCAUUCGAAACUGGACGGCUAGAGUCUCGGAGAGGGUGGCGGAAUUCCCGGUGUAGAGGUGAAAUUCGUAGAUAUCGGGAGGAACACCAGUGGCGAAGGCGGCUUCCUGGACUAAAACUGACGCUGAGGUACGAAAGCGUGGGGAGCAAACAGGAUUAGAAACCCCAGUAGUCC